UACGUAGGUCCCGAGCGUUGUCCGGAUUUAUUGGGCGUAAAGCGAGCGCAGGUGGUUUAUUAAGUCUGGUGUAAAAGGCAGUGGCUCAACCAUUGUAUGCAUUGGAAACUGGUAGACUUGAGUGCAGGAGAGGAGAGCGGAAUUCCAUGUGUAGGGUGAAAUGCGUAGAUAUAUGGAGGAACACCGGUGGCGAAAGCGGCUCUCUGGCCUGUAACUGACACUGAGGCACGAAAGCGUGGGGAGCAAAUAGG
rnacentral:rRNA from 1 species